UUGGGUUAUAGGUUUUCUUUACGCAAUGUGGUGAAAUAUCUGUUAAACUAUGUGUGCUGCCUGUAUUUUCUUUUGUAGGGAUUUGUAUUUAAAUGUGUUUGAUUUAUUUGUGAAAAAGAAAUACUUUUGUUUGCCAUUUUAUUGUUGAAACCAUUGUUUAAGAAGGACAGGAAGUGACGUGUUGAGGAGACGUGGGAAAAUGAGAGAGAAAAAAAGGCUAGACCAGUGGAAGGGAGAGUGGUUGUUGGAGGUUAACAAAAAGACAAAAAGUGAACGGUGGACAUUUAUCAAAAUUUGAUCGCCAUGUUCGACAAGGACUGUUGAAAGUUCAACUGGGAUAGUGUUUCAUUUGAGUGGACAACUCAAAUUACGCCGUAACGUGGUGGAGUUAGCCGCUACCACAGGGGCUAAGUGCAUGCUUGGAACUUGGCUUGGGCGUUAGCCACCAGCUAACGCUAGCUAGCAAAGACUGUGUGUUGGACCACGAAGGAGAGGACAAGGGUGCUAGCUUUGAGCUAACGCGGCUAGCGAGGCUGUGUUUGGACUUCAAGGAAGGACAAGGGACGAGGACCGUGAGGACGCCAGACAGAGGGAAAACCACCUUCACCUUUCUUCAGGACUUCAAGGAAGGACAAGGGACGAGGACCGUGAGGACACCGGACAGAGGAAGAACCACCGUCACCUUUCUUCAUUCCUGCCUUGGGAAGCACUGCAGUGACAUUGGAGCAUUAUAAAAAAGUGCAACUGUGAGUUGGGGUGGAACACAAAAAGUCCAAGCUCAUGCUGUGAAUCUGUCAGCUUUGAAACAAAGGGAAACACUCUAAACCAACAUCCUGGGUAUAAAUUUGCAAUACGCAAUACAGGACUGAUUGUGCAUCGAGUGGAUGUGGGGUGCAUACGAAUAGCCAUGUGCCCCUUCCUCUCUCCUCCUUUGCCUCCAAAUAGUACAACUCUUUCUCCCCUUCUUCCGUCUUCAGACGCAGCCAACAUAGUUACAUGCGCACCGUCUGCAGCAUCGGAGUAUGUCAGGAAGAAUGUGAAUGGCUGGGAACAAGUGAAGUCUUGGCACUGUCAGCAGGUCAGCUUGAAGCCCUCUCAUAGUCCAGCCCUCAGGACCAGGUGUUCCCUGCAUUCAGAAGAUACGCUUAUUCAUAGACUGCCUCCAUUGGAGUAUUAAAACUAGAAAUUUGCAAGUGAAUGCUGAUAUAAUCCUGGAAAUAUAUGUCUCCAUUAAAAAGUAUCCCAUUUAAAGGAACAAGACAGUCUUUGUGUGAGGCCUUUAUGUAUAUUUAUUAAGGCACUAAAAGGGAUUU